UACGGGGGGGGCAAGCGUUGUUCGGAAUUACUGGGCGUAAAGGGCUCGUAGGCGGCCAACUAAGUCAGACGUGAAAUCCCUCGGCUUAACCGGGGAACUGCGUCUGAUACUGGAUGGCUCGAGUUUGGGAGAGGGAUGCGGAAUUCCAGGUGUAGCGGUGAAAUGCGUAGAUAUCUGGAGGAACACCGGUGGCGAAGGCGGCAUCCUGGACCAACACUGACGCUGAUGAGCGAAAGCCAGGGGAGCAAACGGG
rnacentral:rRNA from 1 species